rnacentral:rRNA from 1 species
AAAAAAACCAUUGACUUUGGGAUAACUUCAGGAAACUGGGGCUAAUACCGGAUAGGAGCUCCUGCUGCAUGGUGGGGGUUGGAAAGUUUCGGCGGUUGGGGAUGGACUCGCGGCUUAUCAGCUUGUUGGUGGGGUAGUGGCUUACCAAGGCUUUGACGGGUAGCCGGCCUGAGAGGGUGACCGGACACAUUGGGACUGAGAUACGGACCAGACUCCUACGGGAGGCAGCAGUGGGGAAUAUUGCACCAUGGGCGGAAUUCUUAUGCAGCAACGCCGCGGGCCACAUAGAGCUCUACUAUCC